GCACGGUGUGCAUUUUGCACUCUCGUAUUACAGAGGUUCUCCACACAGCAGGCUUUACCACAAGUUUUCUGCAAGGCCUUGCUGAAAACUCAAAGUUACCUCCAACACCCGACACAAAAAGCGAAUCCCCCGCACCAGAUAUAAAUCAGGUUACACUCUAGCGUGAGAAUCAACGUCGGGGUAAAACUGGCCGAUAUAUGAACACCCCCCCUCCGUCCCAGAGAUGCGAGAUAGAAGGCAAGCCCCGUGUGGAAAACUUCCGGGUGAGGGUUUUCUGCAAACGUUGACGCGUGAAACCAUACGACGACUCGGUAACCUAGAAUGCUGAGCAGUCUUAGCGGUUUGCAUGAUUCCUCCUCGACGUCCCGUACCACUAACCCACCAGUGCUUAAAAAGCCUCGCCUCACUGUGGGCGCCCAAAGGUGUGUGCUAUGCCUUAUGUCUAGAAAAGCAGCUCAGAAGUGUCUCCUUUUGCUCUGGGGGAGUUACAAGGCACAUUUAUUUAUUUAUGUAUUCGAUUUCUAGACCGCCCUUCCAAAAAUGGCUCAGGGCGCUUUGCACAGAGAAAUAACAAAUAAAGAAGAUGGCUCCCUGUCCCCAAAGGGCUCACACUCUAAAAAGAAACAUAACAGACAGACACCAGCAACAGUCACUGGAGGGAUGCUGUGCUGGGGGCG